UACGUAGGGUGCGAGCGUUUAAUCGGAAUUACUGGGCGUAAAGCGUGCGCAGGCGGCGCGUUAAGACAGGUGUGAAAGCCCCGAGCUUAACUUGGGAAUUGCGCUUGUGACUGGCGAGCUGGAGUGUGGCAGAGGGAGGUGGAAUUCCACGUGUAGCAGUGAAAUGCGUAGAGAUGUGGAGGAGCACCGAUGGCGAAGGCAGCCUCCUGGGCCAGCACUGACGCUCAUGCACGAAAGCGUGGGGAGCAAACAGG
rnacentral:rRNA from 1 species